GACGAACCGUGCGAACGUUGUUCGGAAUCACUGGGCUUAAAGGGCGCGUAGGCGGGCGGCCAAGUCAGGGGUGAAAUAUUUCGGCUCAACCGGAAAAGUGCCUCUGAUACUGGUGGCCUCGAGGGAGGUAGGGGUCUGCGGAACUUCCGGUGGAGCGGUGAAAUGCGUAGAUAUCGGAAGGAACGCCGGUGGCGAAAGCGGCGGACUGGACCUCUUCUGACGCUGAGGCGCGAAAGCCAGGGGAGCAAACGGG
rnacentral:rRNA from 1 species